UCGGGAAUUUUGGGCAAUGGGCGAAAGCCUGACCCAGCAACGCCGCGUGAAGGAUGAAGUAUUUCGGUAUGUAAACUUCGAAAGAAUAGGAAGAAUAAAUGACGGUACUAUUUAUAAGGUCCGGCUAACUAUGUGCCAGCAGCCGCGGUAAUACGUAGGGACCAAGCGUUGUUCGGAUUUACUGGGCGUAAAGGGCGCGUAGGCGGCAAUUCAAGUCAUCUGUGAAAUCUCCGGGCUUAACUCGGAACGGUCAGAUGAUACUGCUUUGCUAGAGUGCAGAAGGGGCAAUCGGAAUUCUUGGUGUAGCGGUGAAAUGCGUAGAUAUCAAGAGGAACACCUGAGGUGAAGACGGGUUGCUGGGCUGACACUGACGCUGAGGCGCGAAAGCCAGGGGAGCAAACGGGAUUAGAUACCCCUGUAGUCCCUGAGCGGGCUGGCAAGGCGCAU
rnacentral:rRNA from 1 species